GAGUUUUAUUUUGAAAAGUACACUACAUCAAUCUGGACAAUUCCAGUGGCUAUCGAAACCUUAUAUGUUCUGGCACCAAACGAUGAGGCCACUUUUUUCAAAAAUAAUUCGAAUAAAAAGUUAUCAUCAAAAAUGUAUUUCAUAGGGGGUCGGAGUGUAGA